rnacentral:sRNA from 1 species
AAACAGACGAAGACAACCUAAAGUACUUUGAGGAAAAUAAGAGACUUCGAAAAGAAAUUGCGAAAUUGAAAGAAAUUAUUGAAGACAAGGAUAAACAAAUCGAUGCCAUGAAAUACGCUGAAGAUAUCUUGCAAGAUCUUCUAGAAGCAAAAGAAAAAGAAAUAGAAAGACUAUAUAGUUCAGG